UCCGUGCUGAAGAGACGUUCGUGUGGGGGCGCGCGCUGGCUGACGGCGCUGCUCCCCACGGGCUGCUUUCCCGCGCUGUCCCGGGGCUGCCCGGAACCGCUGUGGUGAUUGCGGUCAGCAGCUUUCCUGCACGGCCCAUAACCCGGCAGUGCGCGUGCUGCGAGGCUGCGGUACCGCGGCGGUGUAUUUGCACAAGAUAAAAAAAGAAUAGCAUCCAUCCCAAGCCCUGAGCCGUGAGAAGCUCCUUGUCCAGAACUGAACAGACAGCUACAGUACAGGGUGGAAGUGCUCAGGUAGCACAACAAAAAAAAAAAAGUGGAUGACUAGGAGAACAGCCAUUUGUGAGAAAAGUUCUGCCCUGAAUCACACUGACGUUGGAGUUGGCUAAUCAUGCACAGGUAAGUUUUGUUGGGGUUUUUUUGUUUGUUUGUUUUAAUCCUGUUAAACACGUCUAACCAAUAGCUUUCACCUUUCCCAUGUGCUUUCAGAAGCAUCUAGUCUGUGAGACAUUACUCCAGCUGACAGUUCAUAUUUUUCAGAAGUGCUCAUACAAACUUUCCAGUUCAUGUCAGCCUGACUGGAUGCUGCCACUGCAGAUGUAAGCAGACCAUGACUUGGGACACACAGAGUUUCCACUGAUGCAUUCAGUAAACCCAACAGUAUAGUUUGCUCCUGCUCUGUGCUAGAUUUAAAAGUAGGAUUGUGUCCCCGUGGUCUGUUGUACGUCAGCUACUUCAGCCUGAAAAUAAGCAGUAUGUUCCAUUAUUAAACCUCAG